rnacentral:rRNA from 1 species
AGAGUUUGAUCAUGGCUCAGAUUGAACGCUGGCGGCAGGCCUAACACAUGCAAGUCGAACGGUAACAGGAAGCAGCUUGCUGCUUUGCUGACGAGUGGCGGACGGGUGAGUAAUGUCUGGGAAACUGCCUGAUGGAGGGGGAUAACUACUGGAAACGGUAGCUAAUACCGCAUAACGUCGCAAGACCAAAGAGGGGGACCUUAGGGCCUCUUGCCAUCGGAUGUGCCCAGAUGGGAUUAGCUAGUAGGUGGGGUAACGGCUCACCUAGGCGACGAUCCCUAGCUGGUCUGAGAGGAUGACCAGCCACACUGGAACUGAGACACGGUCCAGACUCCUACGGGAGGCAGCAGUGGGGAAUAUUGCACAAUGGGCGCAAGCCUGAUGCAGCCAUGCCGCGUGUAUGAAGAAGGCCUUCGGGUUGUAAAGUACUUUCAGCGGGGAGGAAGGGAGGAAAGUUAAUACCUUUGCUCAUUGACGUUGCCCGCAGAGGAGCACCGGCUAACUCCGAGCCAGCAGCGGAGGUAAUACGGAGGGUGCGAACGUUAAUCUGAAUUACUGGGCGUAAAGCGCACGCAGCGGGUGGGUAAGUCAGAUGUGAAAUCCCCGGGCUCAACCUGGGAACUGCAUCUGAUACUGGGAAGCUUGAGUCUCGUAGAGGGGGGUAGAAUCCAAGUGGAGCGGAAAAUGCGUAGA